rnacentral:lncRNA from 1 species
AAAGCUCCCAGGCACGGAAGUCGAUAUCGCUCCUUAACCUUUGUUUUCUCUGAUCUCCCCUUCUGUUAUCCACUGGGUCCCUUCCUCUUUUAACAAAAACUUUCUGUCCAUCUGCCACCUUUUUCAAAUUCCUGCUCCUUUUGCCUUUUAUCCAGUGAACUUUUGAAAGCAGUGUCCCUCUGACCUACGGUCCAUAGCCUCCUCCUCGCCGGGAUCAGCCCCCGACCUCCGUCGGCGGGUCAGCCAGGGCCCUCCCUGUGCCGUUUUGGAGUCUGCUUCCUUUUCCACACCGCCGGCGACGUACAACCACGACAAUGCCGCCGUUUCAAGUAUCUUAACCCUAUUAUGCUGAUGCCUCCAAUGGAGACCAGUGCUCCACGCUGCUAACUGGUUCCAAAUCUCCCACGUUGGUUGCUAUAACCUUCUUCAUGUCCUCUCUACGCAGCAAACCACACCAUUGAAGCAAGUUCCGUCAUACAGCUCUCUCCACAACGAGCUCAACGUUCUGCUCCGCCUACG